CCUACGGGAGGCAGCAGUGAGGAAUAUUGGUCAAUGGACGAGAGUCUGAACCAGCCAAGUCGCGUGAAGGAUGACUGCCCUAUGGGUUGUACACUUCUUUUAUAUGGGAAUAAAAUGUUCCACGUGUGGGAUUUUGUAUGUACCAUAUGAAUAAGGAUCGGCUAACUCCGUGCCAGCAGCCGCGGUAAUACGGAGGAUCCGAGCGUUAUCCGGAUUUAUUGGGGUUAAAGGGAGCGUAGGUGGGUUGUUAAGUCAGUUGUGAAAGUUUGCGGCUCAACCGUAAAAUUGCAGUUGAAACUGGUAGUCUUGAGUACAGUAGAGGUGGGCGGAAUGCGUGGUGUAGCGGUGAAAUGCUUAGAUAUCACGAAGAACACCGAUUGCGAAGGCAGCUCACUGGACUGUAACUGACAUUGAGGCUCGAAAGUGUGGGUAUCAAACAGGAUUAGAUACCCUGGUAGUC
rnacentral:rRNA from 1 species